CGGACGGGUGAGUAACACGUGGAUAACCUACCUAUAAGACUGGGAUAACUUCGGGAAACCGGAGCUAAUACCGGAUAAUAUAUUGAACCGCAUGGUUCAAUGGUGAAAGACGGUUUUGCUGUCACUUAUAGAUGGAUCCGCGCCGCAUUAGCUAGUUGGUAAGGUAACGGCUUACCAAGGCAACGAUGCGUAGCCGACCUGAGAGGGUGAUCGGCCACACUGGAACUGAGACACGGUCCAGACUCCUACGGGAGGCAGCAUCC
rnacentral:rRNA from 1 species